rnacentral:lncRNA from 1 species
GGCACCGCCCUCUGCUGUGUCUCCUCUGCUAACAUCCUCCCGGCUAAAUUGUGGCACGUGGGAUGCUGCCUCAGCGCGGUUUGAUGAGCAGUGCCAUGUCCACGCCCAGGAUUCGAACCAACGAAACACUGGGCCGCCUGCAGCAGAGUGUGCGACUUAACCACUCCGCCAUGGGGCCAGCCCCAUGGGAGCUUACACUUUUGAGGCAAUGACACCCAAUAAACAGAGAAACAAAGGGCCGUGAAGGGCACUGGGAAGUCCGGAAAGUGCCACGAAGAAACGGGAAGCAGCUGCCCGAAUGGACUAAGACAGGCGGAGUUCUGGCCAAUGGAGGGCUGCUGGCUGGAUGCAGAUGCCCCAGGCCAUUGUGGAAGCCAGUUACAGAUGGCAGGGGCUCAUCCCUUGAGGACUUUGUGGAACACCAGUUGGAUUUUAUAUGAAGAAAGACACUAUUACAUUAAGCCACUGAAACCUUGGGUUUGCAUAUCAGAGCAGCUGGUGUCACCUUCACUAAAGUGGAAUAGAAGCUGUGGGAGCAGAGGGACCAGAGCUGGGAGAGGGGUGGCGUGAGGCGGAAAGAGACCCAGGUGGGACCCGGGGAACACCAAC